rnacentral:rRNA from 1 species
GUGGGGAAUCUUAGACAAUGGGCGCAAGCCUGAUCUAGCCAUGCCGCGUGAGGGAAGAAGGCCUUAGGGUCGUAAACCUCUGUUGUGUGGGAAGAAGAGCGUGACGGUACCACACGAGGAAGUCCCGGCUAACUACGUGCCAGCAGCCGCGGUAAUACGUAGGGGACGAGCGGUGUCCGGAUUUACUGGGCGUAAAGGGCGCGUAGGCGGUCAUUUAAGUCAGCUGUGAAAUGGUUUGGCUUAACCGGAUCAUGCGGUUGAAACUGGAUGACUGGAGUGCUGGAGAGGCAAGUGGAAUUCCCAGUGUAGCGGUGAAAUGCGUAGAUAUUGGGAAGAACACCGGUGGCGAAGGCGACUUGCUGGCCAGCAACUGACGCUGAGGCGCGAAAGCCAGGGGAGCAAACGGGAUUAGAAACCCCAGUAGUCC